CCCCGCCGCUGCAAGCUAAAGCAGACUGCAGCUGCAGAAGACUCCUUGUUUUUCGCCUGGAGUCCUGUGUCUCUGACCAGUAAAUCUGUGGAUCUGUGAUCUGAACAGAGCUUUGGAACUGGAGAUUGCCAACCCUUUCUGAAGGGAGCAGGAGCAGCAGACUGGUGUGGCUCGGUACACGGCCCAUUCAACCUCCGUUGCAAAGCAGCAUUACCGGAUGAGGACGCGCCAGGAGACCGGUGUCACUGGGAACGUGCUGCAGAGCUUUAGAAGCUCAAAGACAUUCUUGUCAAAGCCCUCAGCGAGCUCUUGAGGAGCAGUAAACACAUUGGUCUUCAAACCUCAGACUUUCGUUCUUGGGCAAUGAAAACAUCUGAAUUUUCAGUCCUUCAGUCCGACUUGUGGGACCCUCCAGGGAUGCUUCCAGGACUGUCCAGGGACAUUCAGGAUAAGCCGGACAAAACAAUUUCCCUGCAUUGUUGGGCCCAGCCACGCAUUUAGUUCCAAUUUCCGAUUCCACACAGAGAUCAAAACGGAUCUCUGUGUGGAAUCGGUGUGGAGUCAGUGCUCACUGCGCCCUCUAUCAGACAGCAGUGGACACAUUGGUGGACUGGUGGAGGGGACAGGUGACUUCCCUCUCUCUAAACUGGAGUUACAUGAGGAGACGAUUCCAGCUGCAGUCUGUCCCCCCCUGAAAAUGCCUU